rnacentral:rRNA from 1 species
AGGACGACGCUGGCGGCGUGCCUAAUACAUGCAAGUAGAACGCUGAAGAGAGGAGCUUGCUCUUCUUGGAUGAGUUGCGAACGGGUGAGUAACGCGUAGGUAACCUGCCUUGUAGCGGGGGAUAACUAUUGGAAACGAUAGCUAAUACCGCAUAACAAUGGAUGACACAUGUCAUUUAUUUGAAAGGGGCAAUUGCUCCACUACAAGAUGGACCUGCGUUGUAUUAGCUAGUAGGUGAGGUAAUGGCUCACCUAGGCGACGAUACAUAGCCGACCUGAGAGGGUGAUCGGCCACACUGGGACUGAGACACGGCCCAGACUCCUACGGGAGGCAGCAGUAGGGAAUCUUCGGCAAUGGGGGCAACCCUGACCGAGCAACGCCGCGUGAGUGAAGAAGGUUUUCGGAUCGUAAAGCUCUGUUGUAAGUCAAGAACGGGUGUGAGAGUGGAAAGUUCACACUGUGACGGUAGCUUACCAGAAAGGGACGGCUAACUACGUGCCAGCAGCCGCGGUAAUACGUAGGUCCCGAGCGUUGUCCGGAUUUAUUGGGCGUAAAGCGAGCGCAGGCGGUUUGAUAAGUCUGAAGUUAAAGGCUGUGGCUCAACCAUAGUUCGCUUUGGAAACUGUCAAACUUGAGUGCAGAAGGGGAGAGUGGAAUUCCAUGUGUAGCGGUGAAAUGCGUAGAUAUAUGGAGGAACACCGGUGGCGAAAGCGGCUCUCUGGUCUGUAACUGACGCUGAGGCUCGAAAGCGUGGGGAGCGAACAGGAUUAGAUACCCUGGUAGUCCACGCCGUAAACGAUGAGUGCUAGGUGUUGGAUCCUUUCCGGGAUUCAGUGCCGCAGCUAACGCAUUAAGCACUCCGCCUGGGGAGUACGACCGCAAGGUUGAAACUCAAAGGAAUUGACGGGGGCCCGCACAAGCGGUGGAGCAUGUGGUUUAAUUCGAAGCAACGCGAAGAACCUUACCAGGUCUUGACAUCCCGAUGCUAUUUCUAGAGAUAGAAAGUUACUUCGGUACAUCGGUGACAGGUGGUGCAUGGUUGUCGUCAGCUCGUGUCGUGAGAUGUUGGGUUAAGUCCCGCAACGAGCGCAACCCCUAUUGUUAGUUGCCAUCAUUCAGUUGGGCACUCUAGCGAGACUGCCGGUAAUAAACCGGAGGAAGGUGGGGAUGACGUCAAAUCAUCAUGCCCCUUAUGACCUGGGCUACACACGUGCUACAAUGGUUGGUACAACGAGUUGCGAGUCGGUGACGGCGAGCUAAUCUCUUAAAGCCAAUCUCAGUUCGGAUUGUAGGCUGCAACUCGCCUACAUGAAGUCGGAAUCGCUAGUAAUCGCGGAUCAGCACGCCGCGGUGAAUACGUUCCCGGGCCUUGUACACACCGCCCGUCACACCACGAGAGUUUGUAACACCCGAAGUCGGUGAGGUAACCUUUUGGAGCCAGCCGCCUAAGGUGGGACAGAUGAUUGGGGUGAAG